CCUACGGGAGGCAGCAGUGAGGAAUAUUGGUCAAUGGACGAGAGUCUGAACCAGCCAAGUAGCGUGAAGGAUGACUGCCCUAUGGGUUGUAACCUUCUUUUAUAAAGGAAUAAAACGAGGCACGUGUGCCUUUUUGCAUGUCCUUUAUGAAUAAGGAUCGGCUAACUCCGUGCCAGCAGCCGCGGUAAUACGGAGGAUCCGAGCGUUAUCCGGAUUUAUUGGGUUUAAAGGGAGCGUAGAUGGGUUGUUAAGUCAGUUGUGAAAGUUUGCGGCUCAACCGUAAAAUUGCAAUUGAUACUGGCAGUCUUGAGUACAGUUGAGGCAGGCGGAAUUCGUGGUGUAGCGGUGAAAUGCGUAGAUAUCACGAAGAACCCCGAUUGCGAAGGCAGCUUACUAAACUGUGACUGACAUUGAUGCUCGAAAGUGUGGGUAUCAAACAGGAUUAGAUACCCGAGUAGUC
rnacentral:rRNA from 1 species